rnacentral:misc_RNA from 1 species
AAACAAUCAUGAUGGCGUGAUUGCAGUGGUCGUGCCAACAAUGAGAUUGCAGUGGCAAUGGCAGUUGAGAUGGUGCAGGAACAUAUAUGCACAAAUUGUUCAAUUACAAAUCUAGUAGAAAACAAAAGUUAACAGCAUAAACUAUUUUUAUUUGAUUCCUAAUAUCAAUAUAAAUUUGGAGAACAGGAAAAUAUUUACAACUUGAGAAUAAAACCCCAGAGUUUCUAUUUGUAUUUAAGAAAAAUAAUUAAAGAAAAGCCCAAAUUUUCAGCAUGAGAAUACUCCUAUUCAAAACUCAAAAUAUUACAGUGCAGACAUUCGCAAGAUUAAUAUUCUUAUCACCACUUCAGGUUUCAUGCUUUUUUUUUUUUUUUG